AGGCUGUACGCGGCUGUGCCCUUUGGGUGCAGCGUCUGCUGCGGCUGGAUUAUUUAUUUUCACCCUUGUCUUUUGCGCACUUGUUGUUUCCUGGGCGGGUUCGCCCGCCACCAGGACCACAUGAUAAACCUUUUUUAUGCAGUUGCAAUCAGCGUCAGUACAACAAAAUGUAUCAUUUACAACUUUCAACAACGGAUCUCUUGGUUCUGGCAUCGAUGAAGAACGCAGCGAAAUGCGAUACGUAGUGUGAAUUGCAGAAUUCAGUGAAUCAUCGAAUCUUUGAACACAUUGCGCCCUUUGGUAUUCCAAAGGGCAUGCCUGUUCGAGCGUCAUUUGUACCCUCAAGCUUUGCUUGGUGUUGGGCGUCUUGUCUUUGCUCCSCCAAARACUCGCCUUAAAACGAUUGGCAGCCGGCCUACUGGUUUCGCAGCGCAGCACAUUUUUGCGCUUGCAAUCAGCAAAAGAGGACGGCACUCCAUCAAGACUCCUUCUCACGUUUGACCUCGGAUCAGGUAGGGAUACCCGCUGAACUUAAGCAUAUCAAUA
rnacentral:rRNA from 1 species